rnacentral:rRNA from 1 species
AGCUUACACGGGACCCGUAAAGUUUCACUCGGUACCCGUGAAACUUGACCUUGCUCUGCGGGAUCAGUGGCGAACGGGUGAGUAACACGUGAGCAACCUGCCCCUGACUCUGGGAUAAGCGCUGGAAACGGCGUCUAAUACUGGAUAUGUGACGUGACCGCAUGGUCUGCGUUUGGAAAGAUUUUUCGGUUGGGGAUGGGCUCGCGGCCUAUCAGCUUGUUGGUGAGGUAAUGGCUCACCAAGGCGUCGACGGGUAGCCGGCCUGAGAGGGUGACCGGCCACACUGGGACUGAGACACGGCCCAGACUCCUACGGGAGGCAGCAGUGGGGAAUAUUGCACAAUGGGCGGAAGCCUGAUGCAGCAACGCCGCGUGAGGGAUGACGGCCUUCGGGUUGUAAACCUCUUUUAGCAGGGAAGAAGCGAAAGUGACGGUACCUGCAGAAAAAGCGCCGGCUAACUACGUGCCAGCAGCCGCGGUAAUACGUAGGGCGCAAGCGUUAUCCGGAAUUAUUGGGCGUAAAGAGCUCGUAGGCGGUUUGUCGCGUCUGCUGUGAAAUCCCGAGGCUCAACCUCGGGCCUGCAGUGGGUACGGGCAGACUAGAGUGCGGAGGGGGAGAUUGAAAUUCCUG